rnacentral:rRNA from 1 species
UGGGGAAUCUUGCGCAAUGGGCGAAAGCCUGACGCAGCGACGCCGCGUGAGUGAUGAAGGCCUUCGGGUUGUAAAGCUCUGUGGGGAGAGACGAAUAAGUGCCACCUAAUACGUUGCAUGAUGACGGUAUCUCCUUAGCAAGCACCGGCUAACUCUGUGCCAGCAGCCGCGGUAAGACAGAGGGUGCAAACGUUGUUCGGAAUUACUGGGCGUAAAGCGAGUGUAGGCGGUCUGAUAAGUCGGGUGUGAAAGCCCUGGGCUCAACCCAGGAAGUGCACUCGAAACUGCCAGGCUAGAGUAUCGGAGAGGUUGGUGGAAUUCUCGGUGUAGAGGUGAAAUUCGUAGAUAUCGAGAGGAACACCGGUGGCGAAGGCGGCCAACUGGACGAAUACUGACGCUGAGACUCGAAAGCGUGGGGAGCAAACAG